GAACACAACUUGUUGCUUCGGGGGCGACCCUGCCGUUUYGACGGCGAGCGCCCCCGGAGGCCUUCCAACACUGCAUCUCUGCGUCGGAGUUUAAGUAAAUUAAACAAAACUUUCAACAACGGAUCUCUUGGUUCUGGCAUCGAUGAAGAACGCAGCGAAAUGCGAUAAGUAAUGUGAAUUGCAGAAUUCAGUGAAUCAUCGAAUCUUUGAACGCACAUUGCGCCCUCUGGUAUUCCGGAGGGCAUGCCUGUUCGAGCGUCAUUUCACCACUCAAGCCUGGCUUGGUGUUGGGCGCCGCGGUGUUCCGCGCGCCUCAAAGUCUCCGGCUGAGCUGUCCGUCUCCAAGCGUUGUGAUCUCCAGAAUCGCUUCGGGGCGCGGGCGGUCGCGGCCGUUAAA
rnacentral:rRNA from 1 species